AGAGGUUUAGGUUAAUUUAGACCCAGGGCCUUCAAAGCCCUCAGUGGGAGUUGAAAUCUCUCAAGCUCUG
rnacentral:tRNA from 1 species